GGAGUGGUUUCUCCAGACGGCCAAGGAUCCUUCUGCAGUGGCGAAGCACUUUGUUGCCCUGUCUACCAACACGGUAAGUGCCCCCGUGGUCCCCUGUACUGCCUUCCUGGGAGGGCCCAGCAUGUCUAGGUCAUGGCCUCUCAGAGACGUGGUUCAUAGGUCUGGUGGAUCUUGGCUUGGCUGAUGGUAUGGAAGGUUUGGUUGCCUGUGGGCUGCAAGCCUUCCUUGCCUUUUCCACAUUACCCAUUCAACCUCUGCAGCUUUGAGGAGAGAGGCUUGGAGUCAGUGGGAUCACGAUAACCCCUUCUUCCGUCUCCCAGGCCUGACUGAUACCCAGAACCCUUCAUACACAUGACCUUCCUAGGCCUCUGUGCCCA
rnacentral:sRNA from 1 species